GGCCUACCAUGGUGGUAACGGGUAACGGGGUGUUAGGGCACGACACCGGAGAGGGAGCCUGAGAAACGGCUACCACAUCCAAGGAAGGCAGCAGGCGCGCAAAUUACCCAAUCCCGACACGGGGAGGUAGUGACAAUAAAUAACAAUACAGGGUUCUUUAGGAUCUUGUAAUUGGAAUGAGUACAAUUUAAAUCUCUUAACGAGGAACAAUUGGAGGGCAAGUCUGGUGCCAGCAGCCGCGGUAAUUCCAGCUCCAAUAGCGUAUAUUAAAGUUGUUGCAGUUAAAAAGCUCGUAGUUGAACUUCGGAAUCAAUGGAUUGGUCAUGCCACCGGUAUGUACUGGUCUUACUGAUUCCUCCUUCCUGAUGAACUGUAAUGCCAUUAAUUUGGUGUUGCAGGGAAUCUGGACUGUUACUUUGAAAAAAUUAGAGUGUUUAAAGCAGGCUAACGCUUGAAUACAUUAGCAUGGAAUAAUGAAAUAGGACGUUCGAUCCUAUUUUGUUGGUUUCUAGGAUCGAUGUAAUGAUUAAUAGGGAUAGUUGGGGGCAUUAGUAUUCAAUUGUCAGAGGUGAAAUUCUUGGAUUUAUUGAGGACUAACUACUGCGAAAGCAUUUGCCAAGGAUGUUUUCAUUAAUCAAGAACGAAAGUUAGGGGAUCAAAGACGAUUUAUGUACGUCGUAGUCUUAACCAUAAACUAUGCCGACUAGGAAUCAGACAAAGUUCAUUUUUUGACGACUUGUUUGGUACCUUACG
rnacentral:rRNA from 1 species